rnacentral:rRNA from 1 species
UUGAAAGGGAAACGAUUGAAGUCAGUCGUACCUUCGGGUAAUCAGCCUUUCGGGUGCGAUUCUGUGGAGCGUGAGGAGUUAAACGCCUUCAUGCCUGCAUAUUCGUGCACUUUGGGUGUACUUGCCCGUGUGGUAGGUUAACAUCAAUUUCGGAUAUCAUAAAUUGGCUGGAGGAAUGUAGCUUCGGUCUCGUACUGAAGUGUUAUUGCCUCUGGUAGAUGUGAUGACCGGGAUUGAGGAUUGCAAGGAAUACCUUUGGGCUACCCGCCUGAUCUCUGAAGGUUGCUCUGGUGCCGAAAGCUUGCUUACGGUUAUCAAAGUUGACGUUCAAUUGGUUAGAACGGGUUAAAUUCGUUAAGGAUGUUGACGUA